AAUUCCAGUUGAAAUUUUCUUCAUUGAACGUAUACUCAAUGAGUAAAUAAAUUGAUUUAUAAAUUAAAAAUAAUCUAUAAAUUUUAAAAUAGAUCCUUAUGUUAUACAUAGAUAAAACAUAGAUUGAUUAUCAUUAUUUAUUCUGUCCGGCUAAUGAACCAUUGAAUUAUUGGUAAAAACCCUAAAAAAAUUCCUGGAACAGAUCUUUUGAACUCCGAUGAUGUGUCAUGUGAACUGAAAAAAAAUCACGAAUAGAUUUUUUCUUCUUCUACUACCUUUCGCUUGGUCUAAAAAUGAAGGUUGGCAAGGACGUACGUGAUCUUCCUCACAUCAAAAUCUUUGGUCCAUUGAGAAAUUUACCAACGUUACGAUUAUUAAAAAUAAAUAAUUAGUUUUUUGCUAAAUAAUUACUUUGAAAAAUCAAAAAGAUAUAAGAUAUUUGAUCGUAAUAUAAAAAAUAUAAUAAACAGAUACAGCUUUUCAUCCGAUAUCGUUAAAUAAAAAAGAUGAUUCAUGAUGUAAGUUUGUGAAGAAUGUACGAAAUCUAACUUUCUAUCACCGGAAAUUCCACUCUGAAUCCUGACGAAUUUCACAGAAAUGCAGCUUUCCUGUUUCUUCAGCCAUUGACAGGAAUAAACGUGUUAGGAGAAUGUGAACACGUUCAAAUUAAGGUUCCUGUCCUAAAAUCUAUCUGUAAUAUAAUAAUCAAGCUAUCAUUAAUUAUUUUUCAACAAAAUAUGAUAAUUGAUUAAUGGUAUUUUUCAAUUUUUAUGUAAUAAUUAUUCAUAUGGUUUUCGGAAAAAUAGACACGUGCUCUUUGUAAUAUAUUGUGGAUUGCCUAUUAAUUAAACAACAUCAACAAAUAUCAAAAUGAAUGGAGUUACUAUUAUAUGUUAAUUUAAUGUUAUUAAUUUGACGAUAUAAAAUCACACAAUAAUCUGCUACUCAAUAGAGCACCAUAUAACUAUAUUGUUAUCAUUGUGAUGAUGACGUUAUUUCUACUGUUCAUUAUGUUUAUAAUUACUAGGUACUGUAGCUGAAUAGUAAAUACGUUUGAUGGAAAUAAAGUGGGGAGUAAAACUCGCGAGGAAUAAACGUCGUUCUUGUUUAGCCGUUUAUGCAUUACCCUAGGUCAAGAGCACAUACUCCCACUCACCAUGUCUUUCAUCUUCUUAUUGAUGUUACCCAUCUUUCACAGCUAUUUUA
rnacentral:lncRNA from 1 species